GUGGUCUCCAAGUAAGAACAGUUGUUCUCCAGAAUGAGAAAUUGGCAAUGUCAUGCUGACAAAGAGUGGGGAGUCCCUAGGUAAAAUAGUAUAAACCUCAUCACCCAAGGCCAGUUCUUCUCCUGGCCACGAAAGGGGAAGCGCUGCCCCUCACAAAGCCCUAUAUGCCUCAUUCAGGGAGGGAGAAAAGCAGUCCCUCUUGAGACCUGUUUCCAUGGUAACCGGUGAGCAAUUGACAAUGUGGCUGUAGUUGGGCCUCCUUGAAGGGGAAAAAUCUUCAACAGGAACCAGGCCACUGAGAGAUGGAAGAAAGGACAGCUCUUACCCAAACCUCAUGAGGAGGCUACCGGAAUCACCGGACAGUUCCUUUAUUGGGAAAACCCCCAGCGACUUUCCAAUGAAAUGGAGAAGGGAAAAGAGACCCUUCGGAAUCAGAUGAGUCCAUGAACCGGCAGCAGUCAGGGCAGUGGUGACAUCACAGAAGGAGCAUGGGCCUUAGACAGUCAUUACCCUUUAGAAUCCUUGCAGCUUUGAGCAAGUUCAUGAAUCUCACUAAAGCUCAGUUUCCUCCAUAGAAUUAAGCAAUAUCAGAGCCUCUGCACUGGACAACUCCAGAGGGCACCAUUGGGGUUAUAUUUUAUGUUUGCCUAACCUUCACUGCAGUGAGUAGAGAUCCCAGAGCACCACCCAUGAUGCCAGGCUGGAGGAAGCAGCAGGCUAGAGGAAUUCAGGACAGACGAGCCAGGAAAGAGUUCUCACCUAGGACCCAAUGCAGAGCUCACAUCCCACCCUCCUUUCCCCAUGACAAAGCACUGGCAAACCCUGCCAAAGAAGACGCUUGGCUGCAAAGCAGUUUGGAACUGGACCCAGGAGCUCACCACCACAGGGAGUGCUGCACUUUGACUGGACAGAAUGCAUCCUCCCUGCCCACAGAGCAUGUGCCCAGGAUGAAUCUCACUGUAUCCCAGUUCCCCAUGAUGGGCCCCAAACCUCUUUUUCACAGUAAUAAAGAAAACACACUUUACAAAAAGGCAGUUCAUCUAUGAACAUAUUGGCUAGGAUAACACAUCUUAGAGCUAAAUGUGUCACUGUAAAUGGACUCAUUUUAUAUCUCCACAUACUGUAGAUGUUUAAAAAAAGGUACAUGCACAGAAACUAUGGGAACUGAACUGGAGUAUGAGCCAAUUACCCUAGACUUUGCUGUAAUCUGACUUUUGUGUAGCAUAUUUUCUUUCUCUAACAUUUUCCUUGAUGGGGGAUGGGGAGUGGAGGCAAAGGAGACAAACUGACAGCAGGGCAUUUUAUUUAGACCAAAGGAAAUAUAUUCAGCCUAUCUUAAAUUAUUUGUCAUCAUCAUGACAUUUUCUAAUUUGAAAGUAUUUUGCUUGAUAAUAUAUAAUUGAAUAUUAUAUGCAAUUAAUCAUGUCAUCAUAG
rnacentral:lncRNA from 1 species